AAUGCUUUACACAUGCAAGUCGAGCGGCAGCGCGGGGCAACCUGGCGGCGAGCGGCGGACGGGUGAGUAAUGCAUCGGAACAUGUCCAUUGAUGGGGGAUAGCCCGGCGAAAGCCGGAUUAAUACCGCAUGAGCCCGAGAGGGGAAAGUGGGGGACCGCAAGGCCUCACGUCGAUGGGUUGGCCGAUGCCCGAUUAGCUAGUUGGUGAGGUAAUGGCUCACCAAGGCGAUGAUCGGUAGCUGGUCUGAGAGGAUGAUCAGCCACACUGGGACUGAGACACGGCCCAGACUCCUACGGGAGGCAGCAGUGGGGAAUUUUGGACAAUGGGGGCAACCCUGAUCCAGCCAUUCCGCGUGAGUGAAGAAGGCCUUCGGGUUGUAAAGCUCUUUUGUCCGGAGCGAAAANGUUACGGUGAAUAUCCGUGACUACUGACGGUACCGGAAGAAUAAGCACCGGCUAACUACGUGCCAGCAGCCGCGGUAAUAC
rnacentral:rRNA from 1 species